rnacentral:rRNA from 1 species
UACGAAGGACCCGAGCGUUAUCCGGAUUUAUUGGGUUUAAAGGGUGCGUAGGUGGAACGGUAAGUCAGUGGUGAAAGCCUGUUGCUUAACAACAGAACUGCCAUCGAUACUGCCGAUCUUGAGUACAUAUGAUGUGGGCGGAAUGUGCCAUGUAGCGGUGAAAUGCUUAGAUAUGGCACAGAACACCGAUUGCGAAGGCAGCUCACAAAACUGUAACUGACACUGAGGCACGAAAGCGUGGGGAUCGAACAGG